AAUUAACCCUUUAACUUUUAAUUUUACCUAUUCUCUACUCUAAACACGUGGGAUAAUUGUGUCCAUAUUUCCAAGAUCCCUUUUACUGAUCAAAAGCUUGCAACCCCAAAUCUCAAAUCCCUCUUUAACAGUGGCGGUAAUCUUUUCAAAUUUUCUUUGUUUCAAUUUCAUCCUUCAUCAGUGUUAGUCAUUUCUCGUACUGAUCAAAAACUUGCAAUCCCACAUUUCAAAUCUCUCUUAAACAGUGGCGGUGUAUGCACAGGUGGAAGCUAGAGCUUACAGGUUGACGUUGCCACUAUUCGGACGUGGAGCUUUCAUCCGAACUUGUUAGGCCCUCAUGCUUUCGAGGAUUCUACCGUUAUUAUCUAGCUUAGAUGUAGGCUUUAGCUAGUGGAGCAUGUUCCACUAGUGUUUCUUUCCACUUUCAUUUCGUACUUUGUAUUGGUGUCGUUUUGGCAAAAGUACGUUUAACGCAAUUAUGAACUAUUUUUUUCAUUUGAUUAUCACUAUAUUAGAUGGUUGAUUUGUGAAA